GCUCGACCAAGAAGGUCAACCAUGCAUGUGUAGUGCUCCGGCUUAGUUUCAACCCCAUAAUCGCUCACCAUAGAAUGAAAGUAUUUAACCCCAAGAUCUACAAAACCUGCAUGGUUGCAAGCCAAUAACACUGCAACAAAGGUGAUCCAGUCUGGCCUAAUUCCUGCCUUUUUCAUCUCAUCAAACAAGUUAAGAGCUUUCUCACCCGCUCCAUGUUGAGCAUAACCAGAAAUCAUCGCAUUCCAAGUGACUACGUCUCUCCUUGGAAUUUCAAGAAACAAUUUCAAAGCAUCCUCCAAAUCUCCACAUUUACAAUACAUGCUAACCAACGAAGUGCCUGCACACGUAUCACUAGACAAGGGAGACUUACAAACUAGCUGAUGAACUUGUUUUCCCAACUGUAAAGCAGACAACUCACUACACCCUAACAAUAGGCUACUCAAGGUUGAUGGAUUAGGCCUGAUGCCAAAGCCCAUCAUUGUUCUAAAUAGCUUCACUCCAUCCUCGGCUUUAAAAUUCUCAACAUAACCUGCAAUCAUAGCAUUCCAUGUAACCACAUUCUCUGUUGACAUUUCUUGAAACAAUCUCUCUGCUAAUUCAAUCCUCCCACGCUUCAUGUAUCCAGUAAUCAUCGCCGUCCAAGCCACCACACUCUUAACAGGUGCUAUUUCAACCAAUUUUACAGCCGAAUCCAGAUCGUCACGCUCUAUGUACCCUGAAAUCAUGGCAUUCCACGUAACAACAUUUUUGUUGGGCAUUAUCAAGAACAAUUCCCGUGCUUUGUCCAUUUGCCCUUUAUGGGCAAAACCCGAAAUCAUUGUAUUCCAAGAAGCUGUGUCUUUAUUGGGUAUCCCAUCGAAAAAAGCUCGAGCGGUUUCCAUAUCAGAAUUAUGCAUGUAACAGGCUAACAUGGUAUUAUAAGAUAUUGUGUCUGGUUCAGGAAUUUUAUCAAACAGUUCUCGGGCAUCAUUCAAUUUCCCGCGCUUUUUAGAAAAGGCAGCCAAAAUUGAAUUCCAAGUAACUGUCGUUUUAACCGUCAUGUUAUCGAACAGACUGAGAGCAGAAUCCAAAUCACCGGCCUUGAUAUAACUAGAGAUCAUAUGGUUUGAUAAAAUGACAUCAUUGCAUUGACGGCGAUGAAGUGGUGUAGAUUUGUUGAAAAAGGUGGAUCUGGGGGAUAUGUUAGUGGAAGAAACCAUGUGGGUUUUACUUAUAGGCGAUGAUGAACUGAACUCAUUGCCUGGUCUGGCAUCUGGGUUUUGGAGUGUGGAGGAGGAAAGAAGAGAUUUGUUGAAAAAGGUGGAUCUGGGGGAUAUGUUAGUGGAAGAAACCAUGUGGGUUUUACUUAUAGGCGAUGAUGAACUGAACUCAUUGCCUGGUCUGGCAUCUGGGUUUUGGAGUGUGGAGGAGGAAAGAAG
rnacentral:misc_RNA from 1 species